GUGGGUACAGCUCAGUGGUAAAGUGCAUGCUUAGCAUGCACAGACAAGGUCCUGGGUUCAAGCCCCAGUACCUCCA
rnacentral:tRNA from 1 species